rnacentral:rRNA from 1 species
GCGAGCCACCUCCCACCCGUGUUUACUGUACCUUAGUUGCUUCGGCGGGCCCGCCAUUCAUGGCCGCCGGGGGCUCUCAGCCCCGGGCCCGCGCCCGCCGGAGACACCACGAACUCUGUCUGAUCUAGUGAAGUCUGAGUUGAUUGUAUCGCAAUCAGUUAAAACUUUCAACAAUGGAUCUCUUGGUUCCGGCAUCGAUGAAGAACGCAGCGAAAUGCGAUAACUAGUGUGAAUUGCAGAAUUCCGUGAAUCAUCGAGUCUUUGAACGCACAUUGCGCCCCCUGGUAUUCCGGGGGGCAUGCCUGUCCGAGCGUCAUUGCUGCCCAUCAAGCACGGCUUGUGUGUUGGGUCGUCGUCCCCUCUCCGGGGGGGACGGGCCCCAAAGGCAGCGGCGGCACCGCGUCCGAUCCUCGAGCGUAUGGGGCUUUGUCACCCGCUCUGUAGGCCCGGCCGGCGCUUGCCGAACGCAAAUCAAUCUUUUUCCAGGUUGACCUCGGAUCAGGUAGGGAUACCCGCUGAACUUAAGCAUAUC